rnacentral:lncRNA from 1 species
UUUUUUUUUUUUUUUUUUUUUUUUUUUUUAACCACCAGGUAGGUAUUGACAUGGUCUUGUUGCCUGUAGCAAAGGACAUCGGAUGUCUGGAUGUGCACAGGGCCCCAGGCUUGACUGCAACCUUACACCCAUUUCUGCCCUUCCUUCUUAAGCUGCCUGCCUGGGCCUUUGCACCAGCUCUCAAGUGAGUGUCCAGCUGACCUGACCUGCGGUGCAGUCUCUGGUCUCUGGCAGCCCAAGGGCAGGGGGACCAUGAGGUAUGAGUCCCCCACCCCGUGUCCCCCACCCCGUGUGCGGUGUGAGUCCCCCACCCCGUGUGCUCCCCACAGGCCCAUGGCAGUAGAUGUGACAACUGCAUCAUGUAAGGUCCAUGCCAGUUCAAGAUUCAGCUACAAUCCUCCCAGAACUAUUAUGCCCUCUCACUGGAGAGAAGGUGGAUGGUGAGGCUACGGCAGCCACAUCUGGCAGUUGUCCUCGCUGGCUUCUCACAUGGAGAUUCCAAGCAACUGGACUGACAGAGACAGAUGUGGUGCUGUCAUGCUCUCCAGGGCCAGGCCUAAGCCACGCCUAAUGAAAGACAGGCAUUCGUGGCAAAUGGGGCUGCUCUUGUCCUGUCUCUGUGCCCCUUGCUUCUCCUCCCCAUCUGUUGAUGUGUGUGGGAGGCAGGGGUGUGGAAUCUGGCCUGAUCUGUCUCUUACCCUCCUCUUCAGAGUAUAGGUGGGCCAGUGUCAUCUGAUGCAGGGAACAUACGUCUCACCUCCCUGGCUCAUAUCUUGUGAGUGGCCCUCCCUGCCAUGGGUAGGGUCACCCCACCACUGUGCUUUAUGCUCCCCUUGAUGUGUGAGUAGGACUCACCUGCUCCUCUGUGGUGCUCCUGGAGUGAUCCAGGUUGACCCUCAGGUGCCUGAGGCCAAGCAAAGUGUUUUUCCUAUUCCCAGCAAGCCCCUUGGGUCUCCCAUUACUUUGAGCAGCUUUCUUCAGGGUUGGGAUAGUAAGGGAGGCACACCUUGUCCCACUUGUGUAGCAAGAACCUUAUUCUGUUUGUCCUCACUGUGCCAGAGGAACAAACUUGGCCAGCCACAUGCCAUGAGCUCCCUCUUUGCCAGGACUGCACACAGGCAUGCGCACAAUAGUGGUAGGCCAGGCAAUGCCAAGAGGGAGCUCAGUCUGACUUCAGGCAAGCCCCUCCAUGUGGCAAACAGAGCACUUGAAACAGAGAAGGUUUCCCCAGCCCUCACUCUAAAUGCUCAGGUUGGCCCUUUGCUUACUCGUGUCACGAAUACCCCAUGCCUAGCCCAGCCCUGGCAUCUCUUGAAGUGCCUCUGUGGGCCUGACAGGGAGGUGACAAUGGGUGUGGGAACCAUGAUGUAUCCUCAGUGAGAAUGCCCUCUCCAGUGAUCUGAGGGGGAGCAUUUGGGGCACUGCACCACCCAGCUUGCUACCCUGUGCACCAGCCUGUGAGCAGAGUCCCUCACCUUCCUGUGAAGGAUUGCUGAUCACACAGUGGAGCCAAGCACAGAGCUUUGUGUACGGUGGACCAUGCCUCAUCUCUCCACGUCGGGGGGAGGGUCCUGUCAGGCCAGUGUCCAGCACAGGGCUGUGUGUGUGCAUGCAUCUGUGGUUCCUCAGUCAAGUGCCAAGGGGGGUGCUCUGUCCUGACUCCUCUGUCCCCCGCUGUGAGCAACUCCCAUCCUGGUCACAGCCUGUAAUGACAUGCAGUCAUGGGUUGGGCUGCCUUGCUCAGGAAUAUUUCCUCCGGCUAUGAGCCUGGGGCAGAGCAGAUGAAGAUGGAGAGAUCUGCAUGGAUGGGUGACCAGGUGGGUGGUUCCUCCAUGGAAGGACUUAUACACAUGGGCCUGGUGGUGUACCUGGGUCAAAGGAGACUUAAAAGUGGUCAAGACCGGCUGACAUCCCAAGUGUUGUGGGACCAAUCUUGUGCCUUUAGUGGUGAGCUGACACGCUCAUUUUCCUGGCGGCCCAAUCACAUCUGAGCCUUUCUUUUUCUAAUUACUGGCCCUGCCCCUGCCUGCUGCUGCCCUUCUCCAUUAUCACUGGUCCUCUCUGGCCCAAGCAGAUGAUUGUUAGCACCACCAGCAACUGGGACUGAAAUGGCCUUGCACUGUCUGCCUCAUCCCUGGCUGCCAUAGCUGGAAGUGUCCCCAGAUGAAGUGUUCUUGGGCCCACUGGGGGACUCAGCAACAGGAGGUGUAUGUGAGGCCAAGAAUCACUGGUGUGUGGGAGAGAGUUCUCAUGGACUGGCUGUGGAUCUGUGCUGUUGGAGGUGGGGGUUGCAAGCCCUGUGAGAGUACCCUGGGGACCAAGAAGGCAAUAGGACUUCCAAUAUGCUCUCCAGAAGUGAGACACAGUGCCAUGCCCUGGCAGCUGACUCCUGCCCAGGUUGUUUGGUCAGCCCUAUGCCCAUUGCAGCUACAUGGAGACCCCCUUCCUUCAAUGCUUUUCAGUGCCAACCUUUGGUGCCCGCCCUGCCUCAUUACCUCCCUCCUCUAUCUAUCCACACUACCUGUCAACCCCAGUGCUGUGCCCUGGUGUAGCUUUCCUCAUGGGCAUGCUUGGGCCUCUCCUCUGCAUCCACAGUGACCCCUAGCUCUGGCAACAUUGCAUGUGGACAAGGAUCUGCCCUCUCCUGCCUUACUCCACUCUGGUGAGCUCUCACAAGACUUUGUGACCAGACAACUUGGCUAUAUCAACCACUGCCCACACAAAUGCUAGCAUGUGUUGGCUAGCCUUGACGUAAGUUCCCAUUGCCCCAGCCCUACUCCCAUGCUACCAAGGGGCUGUGCCUGGGGAUGCCACCUAGGCACACCACCCUUGUUUGCUUGUGGAUGGUCAGUCAUUCUUGCCCUGGGCGGGGAGGAUGGCCAGGUCCUGGUGUUUGCCUCCCCCCUUUCCCACCUUGGCCCUCCCCCCACUGCUGUGUUUCCAAUGCCCUUUGUUCCACAUGCCUGGCAUGGCUCUGAGCACUCUCUCAUGGUCUGGCUCCUUGUAACAUGAUCAUCUGCCUGGUGGAUGCUACCAGUAGCAUUUGCUUGUCUCAAAGAUUAAAGCAUGUAUGUCUAACAAGUAUGCAUGGCUGAGACAGUGAAACUGCAAAUGGCUCAGUAAAUUGGUUAAUCCCUUUGGUCACCCAUUCCUGUCCUAUUUGGAUGAUAACUUGUAAUUCUAGAGCUAAUACAUGCUGGUGGAUUCUGAAUCCCCUUGGGAUGCAUGCAUUUAUCAGAUCAAAACCAACGCUGUCAACCUCCCCCUGGCCAUGUCAGGUAUGUGGGCAGCAGUGGCUUUGGUGACUCAGGACCACCUUGGGCUGAUCACACACACCCCUGCGGUAUCAGUGACCCAUUCAAAGUCUGCCUUAUCAAUUUUUUUGUGUGUUUUUGUAUUUUUUAGGGCUGCACUCACAGCAUAUGGAGGUUCCCAGGCUAGGGGUCUAAUCAGAGCUGUAGCUGCCGGCCUUCGCCAGAGCCACAGCAACGCCAGAUCCAAGCCAUGUCUGUGACCUACACCACAGCUCACGGCAAUGCUGGAUCCUUAACCCACUGUGCAAGGCCGGGAAUCGAACCCUCAAUCUCAUGGUUCCUAGUCAGAUUCGUUAACCACUGAGCCACGACGGGAACUCCUGCCCUAUCAACUUUUGAAUGCAGUUACUGUGCCUCACAUGGUGACCACAAAAGAUGCAGGAUCAUAGUUUGAUUCCAGAGAAGGAACAUGAGAAAUGGCUACCACUUCCAAAGAAGGCAGCAGGGGAACAAAUUAACCACUACUGACUGAGGGAGGCAGUGACAAAAUAUAAGAAUACAGGACUCUUAAUAUUAUAAAAAUGGCCAUACUAUCCAAAGCAAUCUACAGAUUCAAUGCAAUCCCUAUCAAAUUACCCAUGACAUUUUUCACAGAACUAGAACAAACAAUCCAAGAAUUUAUAUGGAACAACAAAAGACCCAGAAUUGCCAAAGCAAUUCUGAAGGACAAAAACCGAGCAGGAGGCAUCACUCUCCAGACUUCAUGCAACAUUACAAACCCACACUCAUCAAGACAGUGUGGUACUGGUACCAAAACAGAUAGACAGACCAAUGGAACAGAAUAGGGAACCCAGAAAUAAACCCUGACACCUAUGGUCAAUUAACCUUUGACAAAGGAGGCAAGAGCAUAUAAUUGGAAAAAGAUAGUCUUUUCAGCAAGUCUUGCUGGGAAACCUGGACAGCUGCAUGCAAAUCAGUGAAACUGUAACACGCCCUCACACCAUGCACCAAAAUAAACUCAAAAUGGCUGAGACUUAAAUAUAAGACAAGACACCAUCAAACUCCUAGAAGAGAACAUAGGCAAAACAUUCUCUGACAUCAACCUUAUGACUCCCAAAGCAAUGGAUAUAAAAGAAAAAAUAAACCAAUGGGAACUAAUCAAACUGACAAGAUUUUGCACAGCAAAGG